rnacentral:tRNA from 1 species
GUCUGUCUGGCUCAGUUGGUAGAGCAUGCAUCUCUCGAUCUCAAGGUCAUGAGUUCAAGCCCCAUGUUGGGCA